rnacentral:rRNA from 1 species
GUGUCGUGAGAUGUUGGUUAAGUCCGUACGAGCGCAACCCUUGUCCUUAGUUACCAGCACGUUAUGGUGGGCACUCUAAGGAGACUGCCGGUGACAACCGGAGGAAGGUGGGGAUGACGUCAAGUCAUCAUGGCCCUUACGGCCUGGGCUACACACGUGCUACAAUGGUCGGUACAAAGGGUUGCCAAGCCGCGAGGUGGAGCUAAUCCCAUAAAACCGAUCGUAGUCCGGAUCGCAGUCUGCAACUCGACUGCGUGAAGUCGGAAUCGCUAGUAAUCGUGAAUCAGAAUGUCACGGUGAAUACGUUCCCGGGCCUU